UACAGAGGUCUCAAGCGUUGUUCGGAUUCAUUGGGCGUAAAGGGCGCGUAGGUGGUGGCUUAAGCGUGCGGUGAAAGCUCGGGGCUCAACCCCGAGUCGGCCGUGCGAACUGGGCUCACUGGAGCAUAGUAGAGGCAGGUGGAAUUCCGGGUGUAGCGGUGGAAUGCGUAGAGAUCCGGAAGAACACCGGUGGCGAAGGCGGCCUGCUGGGCUAUGGCUGACACUGAGGCGCGACAGCGUGGGGGAGCAAACAGGG
rnacentral:rRNA from 1 species